GAGGGAGCGUCCGCGGCCCGCGCGCCCGCGCGGCGGAGGAGAGGUGAUAAAUGUGAUGCUUCUAUAAUACAUUUGGAUGUUGUCAGCUAAGUUCACUUAGGAACUAAGGGGUUCCUCCAAAUGUUGGCUGAAAUUUGUCCUUGCACAUCCCAAGGCUCGUCUGCAAUUACCUAGUUCUUUUAAGAAUAAAUUUAGUGGGAAUAUCAGUUCCAGUCAUGGGUACCAAACUUUUUUAGUGACAGAGUACACACAGAGUCUACAAUUCAUAAUGGAGCUACUGUACUGGCUAUUGGAAAGAGGAGAUUCUGAAGAUAAGGAGGUAAAACCUGUUUAGAAAUUAAAAAUGAGUUACGAUUUAAAGAAAAUUCAGAUGACUCAUUGUGAGUGCUAGUUCUCUUGUAGGAUGCCACUGGAAAUGUUGAAAUGAAAAAUAUUCAGCCGUCGGUCUUUGAAAUUUCCUGUGAUGUGU
rnacentral:lncRNA from 1 species